GACGAACGCUGGCGGCGUGCUUAACACAUGCAAGUCGAACGAUGAAGCUGGAGCUUGCUCCGGUGGAUUAGUGACGAACGGGUGAGUAACACGUGAGAAAUCUGCCCUUGACUCUGGGAUAACUGCGGGAAACUGUAGCUAAUACCGGAUAUUUCCCUUGGUGGGCAUCCACUGGGGAAGAAAGAAUUUCGGUCAAGGAUGAUCUCGCGGCCUAUCAGCUAGUUGGUGAGGUAAUGGCUCACCAAGGCGACGACGGGUAGCCGGCCUGAGAGGGUGACCGGCCACACUGGGACUGAGACACGGCCCAGACUCCUACGGGAGGCAGCAGUGGGGAAUAUUGCACAAUGGGCGCAAGCCUGAUGCAGCAACGCCGCGUGAGGGAUGAAGGCCUUCGGGUUGUAAACCUCUUUUAGCAGGGAAGAAGCGAAAGUGACGGUACCUGCAGAAAAAGCACCGGCUAACUACGUGCCAGCCGCCGCAGUAA
rnacentral:rRNA from 1 species